rnacentral:lncRNA from 1 species
GGAGGAGUGCCUCUAACUAAAUCAAAAUGUAAGGAUUGACAAUCAAUUGCAACUUCCACCAUCGUUAAAACAUACAAAGACGAAGUUUUUAUAUAAAAACUUAUUAUUUUUUCAUUUUUCUUUCCUUUUCUUUUUGCAAUUAAUAUUUGCUGAGGAUUUGAAAUGCUUACUUUUUGAAACUGAGGCAAAGUGUAAACCCGGGAAUAGGACCAGGAGCAGGACAGACAGAAGGACAGGGAAGUUGAACGGGCGGAGGAGCAGCGCCUAUGUAGGGCUGAGGAGGAGGUUGUUGUUGGAGAUGAAACGGUGUCGAAAAGUAUGUGCCGUUUGAGUAAGCUUUCUGCGACGACGUUGAAAUAGCUCCCGCCGACAUUGAAGGCACCGUCAACAUUGCAACUCUGGUGAAUUAGGAAGUUUUUUUUUUUUUU